rnacentral:lncRNA from 1 species
AAAAGACAUAUGAUAAGUCAAUGGAAAAAUGAUAUUUUAUGGCGUAGAAAAUAAAAUAUAAAAGUAUAUAAAUUGAAGGAUUAUCACAGCGAUGAUACUUACAAAGAGAAAACAGAGAAAUAACAUCGGAAUUAAGGCCGAAUAUGAAACAUGUUUUAGUGCUUCUGAUUUGUUGUUUUUUCAUUCUAGGUAAAUAUAGAUUAUCCCUUUAAGUAGCUUUUCAAUUAGAAAUUUAGUUUAUGUUUUACUUUGUUUGUAUAUAAAAACUUCUUUUUAUGCUUUAACUAUUUCUAUUUAAAGAAAAAAGAAAAUAAAUGCUUUAAUGGCGUUUUUAUUUUGUUUUGUGUUCGUGCUGUUUCUGUUAAUUGAUGGGAAAUACAAUAACAUUUUUGUACAACAAGGUUUUUACAAAGUCGUUUGCAUGAUAACAAGAAAGCAUUGUUCUUAUUUUUUUGUACAUUCAAUUAGCGCAUUUAAUUGAAUAAUACUGGAAGUGUUGGAGAAAAUGAUUAUGAACCCGACAUCUGCCUGAUCAUUCACGAAGGUCGAUGGAAAAAACGAUAGGAAAGUAUACGGAAGUUGAGUACCCUGAAUAUCAAAAAAAAAAAUCCCGGAUAUUGUGUAACCUAUUAUUUUUGUCCCCUUUUUAUAGCUUGAUGAGACUGACGUACACUUUAAAUUUCGUUUAAAAUAAAUCACAGAACAAAAUGUAUUGUCAAGUUCUCAAAUGGCAAAGUUACUUAUUUACAAAAUAAUGCAAAAUUUCAAAGCAUUUUUCGUACAUAUACUAUGACAUGUUAGUAGAGACAUCAUUGUAAAUUUUGAUAGGUUAUUGUUUUAUUUCAUUUUAUUUAAUUUCACUAAAGAUGGUCAACAUACUAGGCCGUUUGUUUUCUAGUUUGAAUUGAUUUACAUUAAUUUUGUGAUUUUUGGGCCUGUUAUAUGGGCUUUGCUAUUAUUUACAGGCCGUAUGGUGACCUAUACCUGUUAAUGUCUGUGUAUUUUGGUCGCGUGUGGAGAGUUGUCUCAUUGCCAAUCAUACCACUUUUUUAUUUUUUUUUAUUUGAAUUUAUCAAACGGAUUUUAAGCCUGAUAUUUUUUAACAUAUACUACUCACUUGGUGUUACAAAUAAUGGUAUAGUGGUAUUAUUUUGCUGUUUCUCUAUUGGAUUUGAUCAAAAACAUGAAAAUUAUAAAACAGAAACAGCCAGUUCGUAUUUUGUUUACUUAUAUUACGUAGUUAUAUUUCCUCGAUAAAGUAAUUUAUCCAUGCUAAUGAAACUCAUGAUGGAGAAGCGUCUGCAUACGGACUAUAUAUCUUCCAUUUGAUGCGAUACUCAAAAGCUUGUAUUUCCUAUCGUGCUUUCCUUGAUAGAGUGUUGCUGCUCACAAGGUAAAUUUUAACCAAGAGUUCAAAGCGGUGAAGUUAAAAUCAUCCCUUUGUUUAUUUUACGGCUAACACCGCGUUACCUUAUUUUGAUAGUACUCUAAGUGAAGUUCGGUUGGUCUCUCCACAUAAUCCGACUGUCUAAGCUAAAACAAACUGACCACCACAAAAAAGCACAAUAGCGUUGUAUUGACAGGUACUUGGAGUUUACCUUUUAUAUUAUGGCUAAGGUAUAUAUUGAUUUAAAGUAUUAAAUUAAAAGUUUUUCACACAAUGUACGCACAAAAAAAACAUAACUCAUAAUACAAACUUUAACAAAACUCUUUUUUUUUUAUUUUCACAGGUAUGUCUAGUAUGUCAUGGCAAAAAAGAAUACGAACUUUAGAAGUAUGUAGUUCUUUAGAUUCAGUUGGAACUUUCCCAAAAUCAACAUGUUACGAAAUGGAAAAGUUGCAAAGUUUUAUAUGUGGACAAUGUAUCGAUGAAGAUUGUUACAACCGGUACAUGUGCUAUCUUUGAAAAGAACAUCCAUGGAAAAUGUUUUGUAAUUGUUUAUUUACAUUAUUUAAAAUGGAAUACUUCGACUAUCAUGACGUUAACACAUUCAUAAGUAUAUAUUUCUGUAUUGUAUUGCUACUAAAUAUGUCUCAAGUAAUUAAUUACCCACUACAUUUGACUUUAACAUGCUUAAU